rnacentral:rRNA from 1 species
UACGGAGGAUGCGAGCGUUAUCCGGAUUUAUUGGGUUUAAAGGGUGCGUAGGCGGACUGUUAAGUCAGCGGUAAAAAUUCGGGGCUCAACCCCGUCGUGCCGUUGAAACUGAUGUUCUUGAGUGGGCGAGAAGUAUGCGGAAUGCGCAGUGUAGCGGUGAAAUGCUUAGAUAUUGCGCAGAACUCCGAUUGCGAAGGCAGCAUACCGGCGCCCGACUGACGCUGAAGCACGAAAGCGUGGGUAUCGAACAGG